AUGAAUCCUAAUGUCUGCGUUACUCAUCCAUGUGCAGAGGGGAAUAGCAGGUUAUGCGUCUCGGUGAGAGACUACUACUGUUACAUGCUCUAGACACGACCUGGGAUAUUCAAUCCCAUACUCUGUGGAGCACGAUUGCUCCAGCAAUGGGGGGUGGACAUGUACAUCAAGAUUGAGAGUUGUAGGUUGAAAUGGUACAGGAAGAACCAAACAAAGAUCCGUGCCGACCUGUAUAAAGGAGUUGUUGAUGCAAUUACAUCCGGGGAGACCCGGGCAAGCGCUGUUGGAGUAAGGAUAGUGCUACCUGGAACGUACCCAGGUGGCGACCGCGACAUGAAGCGGAGGCAUAUGGAUCCCAUGGCAAUUGUCCAUACUUACGGGAAGCCUGACAUCUUCUUGACCAUGACCUGCAACCCUAACUGGGAAGAGAUAACGAAUGAGUUGUUUCCUGGUCAGACAGCGCAAGACCGACCUGAUCUUGUGGCUCGUGUGUUCCAUGGCAAGCUAGAGGCUAUGAAAGAGAUGUUGUUCAAGAAGAAUAUCCUGGGUGUUGUUGUUGCACAUGUAUACGUAGUCGAGUUCCAAAAGAGGGGCCUCCCCCACGCACACUUUUUGUUGAUCAUGGAUUCUGCCUAUAAGCUUGUCGUUCCAGAGCAGUACGACCGACUCAUUUCUGCCGAGCUCCCAGACAAGAAAAAGUAUCCUGAACUCCACGCCUUGGUGGUGAAACAUAUGAUGCAUGGACCAUGCGGUGCUCUCAACCCCAAAAAUGUUUGCAUGCAACAGAACGAGUGCAAGUGCAGAUACCCGCGGUCGUUCAAUGAAAACACGGCAUAG
rnacentral:rRNA from 1 species